GGAGGGGUAGCGAAGCGACCAAACGCGGGUGGCUGUAACCCACUUCCUCACGGUUCGGGGGUUCGAAUCCUCCCCCUCCACCA
rnacentral:tRNA from 1 species